UGGGGAAUAUUGGACAAUGGGCGAAAGCCUGAUCCAGCCAUGCCGCGUGUGUGAAGAAGGUCUUCGGAUUGUAAAGCACUUUAAGUUGGGAGGAAGGGCAGUAAGCGAAUACCUUGCUGUUUUGACGUUACCGACAGAAUAAGCACCGGCUAACUCUGUGCCAGCAGCCGCGGUAAUACAGAGGGUGCAAGCGUUAAUCGGAAUUACUGGGCGUAAAGCGCGCGUAGGUGGUUCGUUAAGUUGAAUGUGAAAGCCCCGGGCUCAACCUGGGAGCGGCAUCCAAAACCGGCGAGGUAGAGUAGGGCAGAGGGGGGUGGAAUUUCCUGUGUAGCGGUGAAAUGCGUAGAUAUAGGAAGGAACACCAGUGGCGAAGGCGAGCACCUGAGCUCGUACUGACACUGAGGUGCGAAAGCGUGGGGAGGAAACAGG
rnacentral:rRNA from 1 species